AUUUGGGGUCAGUUGGUGAUUGCCGCCCUAAGGUUUGCGUUCACACUGCAGCCUGAAGUGACCCGAUGUUUCGUCAGAUCGGGUUUUGCCGUCGUUCGGCCUGUACGUGUCCCGCAUGCGCAGUAGAGGGCGCAAUAGCGUCAUCAUUCUCAGUGUUUGCGGAAGUAAACAUGGAUGCUAACGGUGGAGCCUAGCUUAGACAUUUAGGUUUCAUAAAGACACCAUGAAAUGGAUCCGUCAGCGGCGGCAGAGCGGCAGCCAUGUUGGACUGUGAAACCCAGCCGGGGUCGGACUCUCCGGGUCAGAAUGAAACUCCUGGACUUGUUUCAG